rnacentral:lncRNA from 1 species
UGAUAUAUCAAUUUAUCUACUUGAAUAUUGAAGAAAAUAAAUGCUAAUCCCUUUCCUUAGUUUACUUUGCAUGUGAACUCUCUUCUUCUCUCAUAUGAGUCCCCUUUGCAUUUCGUUGGGUUGAAAUCCAACAUUCUUUGUUUGAGUUAACCUUGUCAACAAUUUGAAGUUAAUAUACAGGUGGAAGGAGCUGAUAUACGACCUAUAUACACUGUUAUACAGUGUUAUAUACAAUUGAAAAGAGGCCCAAACCAGCAAAUGUUUUUCAAAAGAAGUUGAAAAGGGAAAUAAAAUUGGCCAAAUGUUUCUAGGCAGCAGCAGUUUAGGCCCGAAAGGCCCAAACUAACUCUCUCUCUAUUAUUGGAUUGUAUUUUAGUUAUUUUUGUUUUGAUUAAUUCUAACUUUGAAUAGUUAGAUUAACUUAAUUAAAUGAAAAACUACAGGUGCAG